rnacentral:rRNA from 1 species
UACGUAGGGGGCGAGCGUUGUCCGGAAUGACUGGGCGUACAGGGCGUGUAGGCGGUCGAUUAAGUCUGGAGUGAAAGUCCUGUUUUCAAGAUGGGAAUCGCUUUGGAUACUGGUUGACUUGAGUGCGGAAGAGGUAAGUGGAAUUCCCAGUGUAGCGGUGGAAUGCGUAGAGAUUGGGAGGAACACCAGUGGCGAAGGCGACUUACUGGGCCGUAACUGACGCUGAGGCGCGAAAGCGUGGGGAGCGAAC